ACUAGAUCGGCAUCGAACUAGUAUUAAAGGAGCGAAUGCCCCGCUACUGGAUGGACUCGCGGUGCAUUAGCUAGUUGGUGAGGUAGAGGCUCACCAAGGCGAUGAUGCAUAGCCGACCUGAGAGGGUGAACGGCCACAUUGGGACUGAGACACGGCCCAGACUCCUACGGGAGGCAGCAGUAGGGAAUUUUCGUCAAUGGGGGAAGCCCUGAACGAGCAAUGCCGCGUGAGUGAAGAAGGAUUUCGGUCU
rnacentral:rRNA from 1 species